GAUGAACGCUGGCGGCGUGCUUAACACAUGCAAGUCGAACGGGAAACCUUUUAUUGAAGCUUCGGCAGAUUUAGCUGGUUUCUAGUGGCGGACGGGUGAGUAACGCGUGGGUAACCUGCCUUAUACAGGGGGAUAACAGUCAGAAAUGGCUGCUAAUACCGCAUAAGCGCACAGAGCUGCAUGGCUCAGUGUGAAAAACUCCGGUGGUAUAAGAUGGACCCGCGUUGGAUUAGCUGGUUGGUGGGGUAACGGCCCACCAAGGCGACGAUCCAUAGCCGGCCCGAGAGGGUGAACGGCCACAUUGGGACUGAGACACGGCCCAGACUCCUACGGGAGGCAGCAGUGGGGAAUAUUGCACAAUGGGGGAAACCCUGAUGCAGCGACGCCGCGUGAAGGAAGAAGUAUCUCGGUAUGUAAACUUCUAUCAGCAGAGAAGAUAAUGACGGUACCUGACUAAGAAGCCCCGGCUAACUACGUG
rnacentral:rRNA from 1 species